GCAAAGUCAAGCAAUGACAUUCGUUUUACUUUCAAUAGCUUACAGGACACAGUUCAUGUAUCUAAUGUGUCAGGAGAAUACAUGUAUGGUGCUUUCACAUCAUCUGAGAAUGGUCCUGCUGGAUCAGCAAUAUGUGUCUAUACGUUAAAUGGAGAGAAUACUAAUGACCUUUCUG